ACAGGAAAAACUGAUCACUGAAAAUGGAAAAAUAUAUUGCUUGCGCGACUUGAACCCAUUGAUAAAGGUGAACCACAAUUAAUUGACUGAGGUUGCAGUACCUACAGCUUCCACACGGUGUCUAGAGUCUUGUCAUUUCCCUACGAGUUUUUUCUUGGUCAAACACAUGCAAGGCAGCGCAUUUCUUCAGGUCUAGGACCGGAUAUUUUGGUUGAGUUUCUAGCCGGACAUUUUUCCAGACGGACAGCUAAUGAUUUUUACAUCGCCUCCUGAUGAAUUGUAUCGCUUAUUAACGUUUACUAAUACCUAAAGUUGCAUUACAAAAGUAUUUCGAAGUGUUUUGUGAACGUUUAUCGUCGACUUUUUGAAUUUUAAAAAAUGACGUUACGUUUUGAAACGAUGUUUUUUUCGUUUAUCACACAGUCUACAUAUAACGAUAUCUAGGCUUUAUAUGGACCGAUUUAAUCGAAAUAAAGACCCAAUAGUGUUUAUGGGACAUCUAGGAGUGCCAACAAAGAAGAUGGUGAAAGAUGAGAAGAUAUGAAGAAAACAGACCGUGGAAGCUAUGGCUCUGAGAGCAAUGAGAAGAUACGAAGAAAACAGACCGUGGAAGCUAUGGCUCUUCAGGGCAGUCUUCUCUUCCACGUCUGAAAGUGACCUUGUCAAUCACAUUCAACAAAUGGAAAGAGCCCUAUUUGGCCUAACAUCAUGGGACGUGAGAAGACUUGCCUUUGAUCUGGCAGAGAGGAUGGGAAUUAAGCACAGGCUCAACAAAGGAAAGGGGUAUGCAGAGGUGGAUUGGUUCAGUGGCUUCAUGAAGCACAACCCUCAACUGUCAGUAAGAGUAUCGCAAGCAACCAGUCUUGUGAGGAUCAAAUCAAAUUUUAUUUGUCACAUACACAUGGUUAGCAGAUGUUAAUUAAUGCGAGUGUACUGCGUUUGUCGUUUUAUUUUCAAUGCAAAGAAUCCAUUCAGCCGCAGUGCUCUAUUGCCACCUCUACCGAUGCGGCCACCAGCUCUACCGUCGCCAUCUCUAGCUCUACCUCCACCGCCACCAGCUCUAACUCCAAAACCUCUACCUCCACCACAUCUACCUCCGCCACAACCUCCACCCUGCAGCCUACCCUUGCUCCAAAUCUGCGGCAGUUCUAUUGGAGUUGUGCCAAGGCUCCAGGAGGCGAGGCCGAGGAAGAGGAAGGCAGAGUCUGCGGCUAUGCUGAUAGCCUCACCUUACAAAAGGUUGCUGGAGGAAAAGGCCUCAUAAAGAAGAAAGAAAGAGAGAGAGAGUAGGAAAACAAAUCAAGUUCUUCAAAGAAAGGGUGCCUUAAAGAAGGUUGUUGCAACACAAUAAGCCACAUCAGUCACCAAAGGGGAUGCAGAGUGUAUUUUCUGUGAGGAGCUGUUUUCAGCCACAGGUUGGACUGGAUUAGGUGUGAGUAGUGCAGGAGGUGGGCUUGUGAGUUAUUCCAAUGUUAUUUCAUGUUAUUAGUUAUAUUCCAUUCCAAUAUUGUAUUCAAAUGAAUAUUUUUUUUGAAUGAAUUAAAAACAACUAUUGAAAA